GAUGAACGCUGACAGAAUGCUUAACACAUGCAAGUCAACUUGAAUUUGGGUUUUUAACUUAGAUUUGGGUGGCGGACGGGUGAGUAACGCGUAAAGAACUUGCCUCACAGCUAGGGACAACAUUUAGAAAUGAAUGCUAAUACCUGAUAUUAUGAUUUUAAGGCAUCUUAGAAUUAUGAAAGCUAUAAGCACUGUGAGAGAGCUUUGCGUCCCAUUAGCUAGUUGGAGAGGUAACAGCUCACCAAGGCGAUGAUGGGUAGCCGGCCUGAGAGGGUGAACGGCCACAAGGGGACUGAGACACGGCCCUUACUCCUACGGGAGGCAGCAGUGGGGAAUAUUGGACAAUGGACCGAGAGUCUGAUCCAGCAAUUCUGUGUGCUCGAUGAAGUUUUUCGGAACGUAAAGUGCUUUCAGUUGGGAAGAAAGAAAUGACGGUACCAACAGAAGAAGUGACGGCUAAAUACGUGCCAGCAGCCGCGGUAAUACGUAUGUCACGAGCGUUAUCCGGAUUUAUUGGGCGUAAAGCGCGUCUAGUUGGUUAUGUAAGUCUGAUGUGAAAAUGCAGGACUCAACUCUGUAUUGGGUUUGUGAUACUUUUUACUAGAUUACUGGAGAGUUAAGCGGAACUGCGAGUGUUGUAUGUGGAAUUCUGUUAUUUUGUUGGAAUGGCGAUGGGGAAGCCUGUUUAUUGGUCGGAUUGUUGACUCUUAGGUGCUGAAAUGGGGGGUAGAAAUGUGGAUUUGUGUACCCCCUGGGGUUCUGAGGGCUAAAUCUGCAUGUGAUGUUCAAUCUAUCUAGACCGUCGCCUUGUGUGGGGGGUGUGGAUAAAAAAUGUUUGGUUGUUUUUUGUUAGUUUUUUAUGUGUCUGCUGCCCUCUGCGUGUCCUGUGUGUGUGCGUGUCCCUGCCCCCCUCUCUUGUGCUGUAUGUGCGGGA
rnacentral:rRNA from 1 species